rnacentral:rRNA from 1 species
UGGGGAAUUUUGGACAAUGGGCGAAAGCCUGAUCCAGCAAUGCCGCGUGUGUGAAGAAGGCCUUCGGGUUGUAAAGCACUUUUGUCCGGAAAGAAAUCCUUGGCUCUAAUACAGUCGGGGGAUGACGGUACCGGAAGAAUAAGCACCGGCUAACUACGUGCCAGCAGCCGCGGUAAUACGUAGGGUGCAAGCGUUAAUCGGAAUUACUGGGCGUAAAGCGUGCGCAGGCGGUUUGCUAAGACCGAUGUGAAAUCCCCGGGCUCAACCUGGGAACUGCAUUGGUGACUGGCAGGCUAGAGUAUGGCAGAGGGGGGUAAGAAUUGAUCCCACGUGUAGCAGUGAAAUGCGUAGAGAUGUGGAGGAAUACCGAUGGCGAAGGCAGCCCCCUGGGCCAAUACUGACGCUCAUGCACGAAAGCGUGGGGAGCAAACAGGAUUAGGAUACCCUGGUAGUCCACGCCCUAAACGAUGUCAACUAGUUGUUGGGGAUUCAUUUCCUUAGUAACGUAGCUAACGCGUGAAGUUGACCGCCUGGGGAGUACGGUCGCAAGAUUAAAACUCAAAUGAAUUGACGGGGUCAUAGCUG